UACGAGGGGGGCAAGCGUUGUUCGGAUUUACUGGGCGUAAAGGGCGCGUAGGCGGCCACCGCAAGUCGACUGUGAAAUCUCCGGGCUUAACCCGGAAAGGUCAGCCGAUACUGCGGGGCUAGAGUGCAGAAGGGGCAACUGGAAUUCUCGGUGUAGCGGUGAAAUGCGUAGAUAUCGAGAGGAACACCUGCGGCGAAGGCGGGUUGCUGGGCUGACACUGACGCUGAUGCGCGAAAGCUAGGGGAGCGAACGGG
rnacentral:rRNA from 1 species